rnacentral:tRNA from 1 species
ACCUGGGUGGCUCAGUCAGUUGGGCAUCUGACUUUGGCUCAGAUCAUGAUCUCACAGUCUGUGAGUUCGAGCCCCACAUCAGGCU